rnacentral:rRNA from 1 species
AUCGAACGCUGGCGGCAGGCCUAACACAUGCAAGUCGAGCGGAUGCUGCGAGCUUGCUCCUGCAUUCAGCGGUGGCCGGGUGAAUCCUGCCUAGGAAUCUGCCUGGUAGUGGGGGAUAACGUCCGGAUACGGGAGAUAAUACCGCAUACGUCCUGUGGGCGCAGGUGGGUGAGCCUCGGACCUCACGCUAUCUGAUUAGCCUAGGUCGGAUUAGCUAGGUGGUGGGGUAAAGGCCUAACAAGGCGACGAGCCGUAACUGGUCUGAAAGGAUGAUCAGUUACACUGGAACAGAGACAGAGUCCAGACUCCUACAGGGGGCAGCAGUGGAGAAUAUUAGACGAUGGGGGAGUGCCUGAUCCAGCCAUGCCGCGGGUGUGAAGAAGGUCUUCUGAUGGGAAAGCACUGAAAGUUGGGAGGAAGUACAGUAAGUUAAUACCGGGCUGUUUUGACGUUACCAACAGAAUAAGCACCGGCUAACUUCGUG